rnacentral:rRNA from 1 species
CCUACGGGAGGCAGCAGUGGGGGAUAUUGCACAAUGGGGGAAACCCUGAUGCAGCGACGCCGCGUGGGUGAAGAAGCGCCUCGGCGCGUAAAGCCCUGUCAGCAGGGAAGAAAAUGACGGUACCUGUAGAAGAAGCCCCGGCUAACUACGUGCCAGCAGCCGCGGUAAUACGUAGGGGGCAAGCGUUAUCCGGAUUUACUGGGUGUAAAGGGGGCGCAGACGGCGAUGCAAGCCAGGGGUGAAAGCCCGGGGCCCAACCCCGGGACUGCUCUUGGAACUGCGUGGCUAGGGUGCAGGGGGGGCAGGCGGAAUUCCUGGGGUAGCGGUGAAAUGCGUAGAUAUCAGGAGGAACACCGGGGGCGAAGGCGGCCUGCUGGACUGCAACUGACGUUGAGGCCCGAAAGCGUGGGGAGCAAACAGGAUUAGAUACCCUAGUAGU